GAUGAACGCUGGCGGCGUGUCUAAGGCAUGCAAGUCGAAUGGGUUUAGACCCAUGGCAAACGGGAGAGUAACACAUUGGUAACCUGCCCUCAACUGGAGGAUAACUCGCUGAAAGGUGAGAUAAUACUCCAUUAACUAGUAAAUCACAUGUUUUAUUAGUAAAGAUUUAUCGGUUGAGGAGGGGCCUAUGGUCUAUCAGCUUGUUGGUAAGGUAAUGGCUUACCAAGGCUCUGACGGAUAGCGGGUGUGAGAGCACGACCCGUCUCACUGGGACUGAGAUACUGCCCAGACACCUACGGGUGGCUGCAGUCAAGAAUAUUCCUCAAUGGGCGAAAGCCUGAAGGAGCGACGCCGCGUGACUGAUGAAGUCCCUCGGGAUGUAAAGGUCUUUUCUUAAGGAAGAAACAAUGACGGU
rnacentral:rRNA from 1 species